UCUCCGUUGGUGAACCAGCGGAGGGAUCAUUACAGAGUUAUCUAACUCCCAAACCCAUGUGAACUUACCAUUUGUUGCCUCGGCAGAGCCUACCCGGUACCGACCCCUUUUGGGCGAAGUUACCCUGUAGCCCGCCGGUGGAUAUUCAAAACUCGUUAUUUUUAAUGUUAUCUGAGCGUCUUAUUUUAAUAAGUCAAAACUUUCAACAACGGAUCUCUUGGUUCUGGCAUCGAUGAAGAACGCAGC
rnacentral:misc_RNA from 1 species